rnacentral:rRNA from 1 species
CCGGCUCCGUUGAGGGCUGGCGGCGCGCCUAACACAUGCAAGUCGAACGAGAGAUGAGGAGCUUGCUCUUCAAAUCGAGUGGCGAACGGGUGAGUAACGCGUGAGGAACCUGCCUCAAAGAGGGGGACAACAGUUGGAAACGACUGCUAAUACCGCAUAAGCCCACGGCUCGGCAUCGAGCAGAGGGAAAAGGAGCAAUCCGCUUUGAGAUGGCCUCGCGUCCGAUUAGCUGGUUGGUGAGGUAACGGCCCACCAAGGCGACGAUCGGUAGCCGGACUGAGAGGUUGAACGGCCACAUUGGGACUGAGACACGGCCCAGACUCCUACGGGAGGCAGCAGUGGGGAAUAUUGCACAAUGGGGGAAACCCUGAUGCAGCGACGCCGCGUGGAGGAAGAAGGUCUUCGGAUUGUAAACUCCUGUUGUUGAGGAAGAUAAUGACGGUACUCAACAAGGAAGUGACGGCUAACUACGUGCCAGCAGCCGCGGUAAAACGUAGGUCACAAGCGUUGUCCGGAAUUACUGGGUGUAAAGGGAGCGCAGGCGGGAGAACAAGUUGGAAGUGAAAUCCAUGGGCUCAACCCAUGAACUGCUUUCAAAACUGUUUUUCUUGAGUAGUGCAGAGGUAGGCGGAAUUCCCGGUGUAGCGGUGGAAUGCGUAGAUAUCGGGAGGAACACCAGUGGCGAAGGCGGCCUACUGGGCACCAACUGACGCUGAGGCUCGAAAGUGUGGGUAGCAAACAGGAUUAGAUACCCUGGUAGUCCACACCGUAAACGAUGAUUACUAGGUGUUGGAGGAUUGACCCCUUCAGUGCCGCAGUUAACACAAUAAGUAAUCCACCUGGGGAGUACGACCGCAAGGUUGAAACUCAAAGGAAUUGACGGGGGCCCGCACAAGCAGUGGAGUAUGUGGUUUAAUUCGACGCAACGCGAAGAACCUUACCAAGUCUUGACAUCCCUUGACGAUGCUGGAAACAGUAUUUCUCUUCGGAGCAAGGAGACAGGUGGUGCAUGGUUGUCGUCAGCUCGUGUCGUGAGAUGUUGGGUUAAGUCCCGCAACGAGCGCAACCCUUAUGGUCAGUUACUACGCAAGAGGACUCUGGCCAGACUGCCGUUGACAAAACGGAGGAAGGUGGGGAUGACGUCAAAUCAUCAUGCCCUUUAUGACUUGGGCUACACACGUACUACAAUGGCGUUAAACAAAGAGAAGCAAGACCGCGAGGUGGAGCAAAACUCAGAAACAACGUCCCAGUUCGGACUGCAGGCUGCAACUCGCCUGCACGAAGUCGGAAUUGCUAGUAAUCGUGGAU